rnacentral:rRNA from 1 species
GACGAACGCUGGCGGCGUGGAUUAGGCAUGCAAGUCGAACGGUAUCAUCCUUUCGGGGGUGAGAGAGUGGCGAACUGGUGAGUAACACGUAGGUUAUCUACCCUCAAGACGGGGACAACCCAGGGAAACUUGGGCUAAUACCGGAUGUGAGCAACUUUUAGUUGUUUGAAAGGUGGCGUAAGCUGUCGCUUGGGGAUGAGCCUGCGUCCUAUUAGUUAGUUGGUGAGGUAACGGCUCACCUAGGCAAUGAUAGGUAGGCGGCCUUAACGGGUGGUCGCCCACACUGGGAUUGAGAUACGGCCCAGACUCCUACGGGAGGCAGCAGUCGAGAAUAGUCUACAAUGGUCGAAAGACUGAUAGUGCGACGCCGCGUGAACGAAGAAGCCCUUCGGGGUGUAAAGUUCUUUUAUAUGUGAGCAGUGCUUCUUAUAUUAACAGUAUGGGGAGAGAGAUAUUAGCAUAUGAAUAAGCAACGGCUAACUCCGUGCCAGCAGCCGCGGUAAUCU